UACGAAGGGUGCAAGCGUUAAUCGGAAUUACUGGGCGUAAAGGGCUCGUAGGUGGCCAACUAAGUCAGACGUGAAAUCCCUCGGCUUAACCGGGGAACUGCGUCUGAUACUGGUUGGCUUGAGUGUGGGAGAGGGAUGCGGAAUUCCAGGUGUAGCGGUGAAAUGCGUAGAUAUCUGGAGGAACACCGGUGGCGAAGGCGGCAUCCUGGACCACGACUGACACUGAGGAGCGAAAGCCAGGGGAGCAAACGGG
rnacentral:rRNA from 1 species